GAUGAACGCUGGCGGCGUGCUUAACACAUGCAAGUCGAACGGUGAACGAGGGAGCUUGCUCCCUCCGGAUCAGUGGCGAACGGGUGAGUAACACGUGAGCAAUCUGCCCUGGACUCUGGGAUAAGCGUUGGAAACGACGUCUAAUACCGGAUACGAGACGUGAAGGCAUCUUCAACGUCUGGAAAGAACUUCGGUCCAGGAUGAGCUCGCGGCCUAUCAGGUAGUUGGUGAGGUAACGGCUCACCAAGCCUACGACGGGUAGCCGGCCUGGGAGGGUGAACGGCCACAGUGGGACGGAGACACGGCCCAGACUCCUACGGGAGGCAGCAGUGGGGAAUAUUGCACAAUGGGCGCAAGCCUGAUGCAGCAACGCCGCGUGAGGGACGACGGCCUUCGGGUUGUAAACCUCUUUUAGCAGGGAAGAAGCGAAAGUGACGGUACCUGCAGAAAAAGCACCGGCUAACUACGUGCCAGCCGCCGCCGUAAUAC
rnacentral:rRNA from 1 species